rnacentral:rRNA from 1 species
CCUACGGGAGGCAGCAGUGAGGAAUAUUGGUCAAUGGGCGAGAGCCUGAACCAGCCAAGUCGCGUGAAGGAUGACGGCCCUACGGGUUGUAAACUUCUUUUGUCAGGGAGCAAUUGGGUCCACGCGUGGGCUUAGCGAGAGUACCUGAAGAAAAAGCAUCGGCUAACUCCGUGCCAGCAGCCGCGGUAAUACGGAGGAUGCGAGCGUUAUCCGGAUUUAUUGGGGUUAAAGGGUGCGUAGGCGGAAUAUCAAGUCAGCGGUAAAAAUUCGGGGCUCAACCCCGUCGUGCCGUUGAAACUGAUGUUCUUGAGUGCACACAGGGAUGCCGGAAUUCAUGGUGUAGCGGUGAAAUGCUUAGAUAUCAUGAAGAACUCCGAUCGCGAAGGCAAGUGUCCGGGGUGCAACUGACGCUGAGGCUCGAAAGUGCGGGUAUCAAACAGGAUUAGAUACCCUAGUAGUC